AACUAUCUGGUGGCAUUGCCAGCCCAUCUUAAGUUCCCCUCUACUCAGAGGGUUUGCUUGGAUCUGAGUCCUGGGUACAGCAAUGUAAAAUUCACUGUUACUCUGGAGACCAAGGGCAAAACUCACACAUUGCUGCAACAGUUUGGACUAAAGACGAGACACUUACACUGCUCGUCCUUUUUGGUACCACUUCCUUCUGGUGGCACAGAAGAAGUAGCCACCGUCCGGGUGAGAGGAACUGGAAAUAAUGUCUACAUUGAGGAGAAGAAAAAUGUUCUGAUUCAGAGGCAGCAGAAUGGCAUCUUUAUACAAACUGACAAACCUGUCUACAGCCCAGGGCAGGAAGUGCAUUUCCGUAUAGUCACCCUCACCAGCACCUUUGUUCCAGUGAAUGACCAGUACUCCAUUGUGGAACUGCAGGAUCCAAAUAACAAUAGGAUUGCACAGUGGCUGAACGUGGUGCCCAAGCAAGGCAUCGUAGACCUGUCCUUCCAGCUGGCACCAGAGGCAACGCUGGGUACCUACAGUGUGGCUGUGGCUGAUGGCAAGACCUUUGGCACCUUCAGUGUGGAAGAAUAUGUGCUGCCUAAGUUUAAAGUGGAAGUGGUGGAACCCAAGCAGUUAUCAAUGGCGGAAGACUCUUUCUUAGUGAAAGUUUGUAGUAGGUACACCUAUGGAAAGCCCGUGCAAGGAGUAGUGCACGUAUCAGUGUGUCAAAAGCCAUAUAUUUACCGGUAUCCAGAUCCAGAACGGGAACGUUUACCUGACAGAUGCAUUGACAAAGCGGGAUGCAUCUCAACUUCUGUGGCCAUGUCCAUGUUCAACUUCACUGGGUAUUAUUACAGACAAGACAUCAAUAUCAUGGCUACUGUGGUGGAGGAAGGGACAGGAGUGGAAGCCAACACCACCCAGGAUAUAUACAUUUCUUCACAAAUGGGAUCCAUGACCUUCGAAGACACCAAUGACUAUUAUUACCCCAAUUUCCCCUUCAGUGGAAAGAUAAGAGUGAAGGGCCACGAUGGCUCCCUCCUCAAGCAUCAUCCAGUGUAUCUGGUGAUUCCUGGAGAAAAUGGAAACGUCAACCAGAUCCUAACUACUGACAACAAUGGCCUCGCUGCCUUCAAUCUAGACACGGCUAAUUGGAACGGGAAAAGCAUUUCUCUGGAGGGCAGGUUCCAAUUGGAAGAAACAUAUGAUCCAAAACAAGAGCCUCGUUACUACCAAAAUGCCUACUUGCAUCUGCAGCCUUUCUACAACACGACUCGCAGCUUCCUUGGCAUCCGUCGAUCAAGUGGCAUCUUGGAAUGUGGCCGGCCCCAGGAAGUGCUGGUGGAUUACUACAUCCAUCCGGCUGAUGCAAACCCUGACCAGGAUAUCACCUUCUCCUACUAUUUAAUAGGGAAAGGAAAUUUGGAGAUGGAGGGGCAGAAACACCUGAAGUCCAGGAUGCAAGGACUGAAAGGCUCCUUCUCUCUCCCACUGGUCUUCAACUCCAGAUUAGCCCCUGAUCCUUCCCUGGUGGUCUAUGCCAUUUUUCCCAGUGGAGGUGUCAUAGCGGACAAAACCCAGUUCUCUGUGGAGAUGUGCUUUGACAAUCAGGUUUCCCUUGACUUCUCACCUUCCCAGCAGCUUCCAGGAGCAGAUGUGGACCUCCAGCUGCGGGCAGCCCCUGGGUCCCUGUGUGCAGUCCGGGCCGUGGAUGAGAGUGUCUUGCUGCUUAGACCAGAGAGCGAACUGAGCAAUCGUUCGGUCUAUGGGAUGUUCCCAUUCUGGUACAAUCACUACCCUUAUCAGGUGGCUGAAUACGACGAGUGUCCAGGGUUUGAUCACUGGAACGUUCCGCAGCCCCUUAUUAAGCCCGCGCUUGAGGAGCGUUGGAACAACCAUCUUGGCGUGUGGAGGCCUCGGCUCUCUGAAAAAAUAGACGUUUUCAGUUUUUUCCAGAAUGUGGGCCUGAAAAUACUGUCCAAUGCCAAAAUCAAGAGGCCAAUAGAUUGCAGUCACCAGAAUUUAAGACACAGAGUUACGAUAGCUGCAGUGAAUGAUGUUAGUCCAACGGCUCUCAAGCUAACUCCAUCAGUUCGGCUGGAAGAGGUUCGCCAGCUGGAAUCUCAGGUUCGCCAGUACUUUCCAGAGACUUGGCUGUGGGAUCUGUUUCCUGUUGGCUACUCAGGACAGGAGUCUGUCCACAUCACCAUUCCUGACACCAUCACCACGUGGAAGGCCAUGACUUUCUGCACCUCCCAGUCCAAGGGUUUUGGCCUCUCACCCACUGUUGGAGUGACUGCCUUCAAGCCGUUCUUUGUUGAUCUGACGCUCCCUUACUCAGUGGUUCGUGGUGAAUCCUUCCGUCUGACUGCCACCAUCUUCAAUUACCUGAAGAAGUGCAUCAGGGUUCAGACUAGCCUAGCUAAGUCAGAGGAGUACCGAGUGGAAAAGCAGACAGACCCUCAGGCCUCCACCUGUCUGUGUGCUGACGAAGCAAAAUCCUAUCACUGGAACAUCACGGCUGUCAAACUGGGUCAUGUAAACUUCACUAUCAGCACAAAGAUUCUGAACAGCAAUGAACUCUGUGGGGGCCAGAAGGCGUUUGUUCCCCUAGAGGGUGGGAGUGACACACUCAUCAAACCAGUUCUGGUCAAGCCGGAAGGAGUCCUUGUGGAGAAGACACACAGCUCACUGCUGUGCCCAAGAGGAAAAGUGGCUUCAGAAUCCAUCUCCCUGGAGGUCCCUGAGGAUGUUGUUCCUGAUUCAGCCAAGGCUUAUGUCACUGUUCUGGGAGACGUCAUGGGCACAGCCCUGCAGAACCUGGACAACCUGGUGCAGAUGCCAAGUGGCUGUGGGGAGCAGAACAUGGUCUUGUUCGCGCCUAUCAUUUAUGUCCUGCAGUACCUGGAGAAGACAGAGCUGCUGACGGAGGAAAUCUGGUCUCGAGCAGUGGGCUUCCUGAAGCUGGGGUACCAGAGGGAACUGAUGUACAAACACAGAAAUGGCUCCUACAGCGCCUUUGGGGAGCAAGAUGGAAAUGGAAACACAUGGCUGACAGCCUUUGUCACCAAAUGCUUUGCCCAGGCUCAGCAAUUCAUCUUCAUUGACGACAAGAACAUCCAGGAUGCUCUUGAGUGGAUGGCAGGAAACCAGCUCUCCAGUGGCUGCUACGACAACGUGGGAAAUCUCCUUCACACAGCUAUGAAGGGUGGAGUUGAUGAUGAGGUCUCCUUGACUGCCUACAUCACGGCUGCAUUGUUGGAGAUGGGCAAGACCACAGAUGAUCCAAUGGUGAGUCAGGGGCUGCAGUGUCUCAAGAGUUCCGUUUCCUCUACCACCAACCUGUACACACAGGCCCUCCUUGCUUAUACAUUCUCUCUGGCUGGGGACACAGACAUCAGAAACAUUCUUCUUGGAAAGCUAGAUCAACAGGCUAUUGUCUCAGGAGAAUCCAUUCACUGGAGCCAGAAACCUGCUCCGACUUCAGAUGCCAGCCCUUGGUCUCAGCCUGAGGCUGUCGAUGUGGAACUCACAGCCUAUGUAUUAUUGACCUUGCUUAGCAAAGACGACCUGACUCAAAAGGAGCUAGUCAAGGCCACCAGCAUAGUGGCUUGGUUGAGCAAGCAGCAAAAUGCAUAUGGGGGUUUCUCUUCCACUCAGGACACCGUGGUGGCACUCCAAGCUCUUGCCAAGUAUGCCGCCACUGCCUACGUGCAGUCAAAGGAAGUCAACGUGGCAGUGAAAUCCGCUCAGAAUUUCCAGCACACCUUCAAUGUUCAAGCUGCCAACCGUCUGGUGUUUCAGCAGAAGAUGUUGCCCCAUAUCCCUGGGGUGUACACCUUGGAGGCCUCAGGCGAGGGCUGUGUUUAUGCGCAGAUAGUGCUGAGAUAUAAUAUCCUCCGUCCGAUAAGUGUGAAGGCCUUUAGUCUUAGUGUGAAAACAAGGAACACUCAGUGUAAGCAACAUACUUCACUUGGAUCCUUGGUGCUAACGAUCCAAACCAGUUAUGUGGGGAGUCGCAGCUCUUCCAAUAUGGCUAUUGUGGAGGUCAAAAUGCUUUCUGGAUUCAGUCCUGUGGAGGGCACCAAUCAGUUACUUCUCCAGCAACCACUGGUGAAGAAGGUUGAAUCUGAAAUUGACACACUCAACAUCUACUUGGAAGAGCUCGGGAAGGAAACUCAGACCUAUACCUUCACCAUCAGCCAAAGUGUGUUGGUCACUAACCUCAAACCAGCAACCAUCAAAGUCUAUGAUUACUACCUGCCAGAUGAACAGGCAACAAUUCAGUAUUCUGAUUCCUGUGAAUGAG
rnacentral:lncRNA from 1 species